rnacentral:rRNA from 1 species
AUUGAACGCUGGCGGCAGGCUUAACACCUGCAAGUCGAGCGAGCGGCGGACGGGUGAGUAAUGUCUGGGAAACUGCCUGAUGGAGGGGGAUAACUACUGGAACCGGUAGCUAAUACCGCAUACCAUCAGAUGUGCCCAGAUGGGAUUGGCUAGUAGGUGGGGUAAAGUCUCACCUAGGCCACGAUCCCUAGCUGGUCUGAGAGGAGGACCAGCCACACGGGGUGUGGAACACGGUCCAGACGCGUACGGUAGGCAGGAGUGGGGAAUAUUGCACAAUGGGCGCAAGCCUGAUGAAGCCAGGCCGCGUGUGUGAAGAAGUCCUUCGGGUUGGAAAGCACUUUCUGCGAGGAGGCGUUACUCGCAGAAGAAGCACCGGCUAACUCCGUGACAGCAGCCGCGGUAAUAC